ACAUCAACCUCUUGAAACAGUUAUUCUUUUGGGACCCGUAGCAUAUGUGUAGACAUGUGCACACAAAGAUAGAAGAUAUGCAAGUUCAUCAUGGAAGAAAGAAGGCAGACCAGCUCCAUGAACCAAGGUGCAGCUCCCAGCUCACUAUACUUGAGGCCACUGCAGUGCCACUUCACAUGGUGCAGGAGUAAACAUUGACCUUGCAGGUCUGAAAACAUCUGCCUUUAGUUAUUUCUCAUUUUGGAGAAAGAAGAUUUUGAAACUGAAGAUUUAAGUAAUUUGCCAGAGUCAGAAUGCUGUAAGCAUCAGAACUCGAUUUUCGAACUUAAGUUUAUCUGACUCAAAAGCUUUUGCCUUUCACCACCACCCUAUUGCUUCUAAAAUGUCAAACAUCGGCUGAACCACAGGACAGGUAUCCUAUAAAUGAGGAGGAUGUGGAUGCACCCCCAUGUGUACGUAAGGACACACGAGCUAAAGGCUUUACCUGACCCAGUAAAAGUGUCAAGCGCUCCAUCUCCAGUCGUGGCUGUGGUUUCACUGCUGUUCAAGGGCUCUGUUUUGACUGCAAGAAGAGACACUACGUAGAAGAAUAAGUACAUGACAGCAAACCAAAAUCAUUACAUGCAAUAAAAUGGAAGCAAAAUCCUUUUAUAGAAGACAAGCACCGUAUUUCUCAACCAAAUGCAAGCUUACACACCAAAUGUUUUGAUUUCAAAAGAAACAAUAUUUUAAUGUCCUAGGUUGAAGAGUUUUGUGGGAUUAUUAUUCUGUAUCUUCAAAGUAAGUGAGUCAGAGCUCGUUUUGCUAAAAGUGGCAUAAAAUUACUUUCUAUACCACUUUGUCGAGAACCGUUAAGAAAUCCUUGUACUGUCAGGUCCCCCUCCCCACUAGUUAGCUACUUGCAAUUUGGAUGUUUCUGAUAGAGUCAAAUGGUAAAAAUAAAUAAACAUACAUGA
rnacentral:lncRNA from 1 species